CGAAAACGAAUUCUCUCUUGAGUGGAUCCUGAGUACGACGGAGCACGUGAAAUUCCGUCGGAAUCUGGGAGGACCAUCUCCUAAGGCUAAAUACUCUCUAGUGACCGAUAGUGAACCAGUACCGUGAGGGAAAGGUGAAAAGUACCCCGGAAGGGGAGUGAAAGAGAACUUGAAACCGUGUGCUUACAAGUAGUCAGAGCCCGUUAAUGGGUGAUGGCGUGCCUUUUGUAGAAUGAACCGGCGAGUUACGAUCUGAUGCAAGGUUAAGCAGAAAAUGUGGAGCCGUAGCGAAAGCGAGUCUGAAUAGGGCGAAUGAGUAUUUGGUCGUAGACCCGAAACCAGGUGAUCUACCCUUGGUCAGGUUGAAGUUCAGGUAACACUGAAUGGAGGACCGAACCGACUUACGUUGAAAAGUGAGCGGAUGAACUGAGGGUAGCGGAGAAAUUCCAAUCGAACUUGGAGAUAGCUGGUUCUCUCCGAAAUAGCUUUAGGGCUAGCCUCAAGUGAUGAUUAUUGGAGGUAGAGCACUGUUUGGACGAGGGGCCCCUCUCGGGUUACCGAAUUCAGACAAACUCCGAAUGCCAAAUAAUUUAACUUGGGAGUCAGAAUGUGGGUGAUAAGGUCCAUAUUCGAAAGGGAAACAGCCCAGACCACCAGCUAAGGUCCCAAAAUAUAUGUUAAGUGGAAAAGGAUGUGGCGUUGCCCAGACAACUAGGAUGUUGGCUUAGAAGCAGCCAUCAUUUAAAGAGUGCGUAAUAGCUCACUAGUCGAGUGACACUGCGCCGAAAAUGUACCGGGGCUAAACAUAUUACCGAAGCUGUGGAUUGUCCUUUGGACAAUGGUAGGAGAGCGUUCUAAGGGCGUUGAAGCAUGAUCGCAAGGACAUGUGGAGCGCUUAGAAGUGAGAAUGCCGGUGUGAGUAGCGAAAGACGGGUGAGAAUCCCGUCCACCGAUUGACUAAGGUUUCCAGAGGAAGGCUCGUCCGCUCUGGGUUAGUCGGGUCCUAAGCUGAGGCCGACAGGCGUAGGCGAUGGAUAACAGG
rnacentral:rRNA from 1 species